UACGUAGGGUGCAAGCGUUGUCCGGAAUUAUUGGGCGUAAAGAGCUCGUAGGCGGUUUGUCGCGUCUGCUGUGAAAACUCGGGGCUUAACCCCGGGCCUGCAGUGGGUACGGGCAGACUAGAGUGCGGUAGGGGAGACUGGAAUUCCUGGUGUAGCGGUGAAAUGCGCAGAUAUCAGGAGGAACACCGGUGGCGAAGGCGGCGCUCUGGGCCGGUACUGACACUGAGGAGCGAAAGCGUGGGUAGCAAACAGG
rnacentral:rRNA from 1 species